GCACGUCUAGCAGCGUAGCAUCAAUGAAACCAAUAAUUUCAGCUGAUACUAUCCUGAUUAUGUUGCUGCUCGCCAUUUUACUUCAUUUACAAGGAACCGGUGCACAGAACGAUGUGGAGGCAAGAAGGGACGAACUAGAAUGCGAUAGAAGAAAUGGUCUAUGUAUUUAUCCUACAGCCUGCAGCUGCCACGGAAGACUUCGUCUUGGACAACGCUCUCCAACCAUGUACCAUUACAACGCCAGGAACAACGAGUGUCUACCAGGCGGAUAUAGCGGCAACUGCAACGGGUUUAGGUCCCUCAUUGUGUGCUUGGUGAGAUGCUCACGAGGGUGGGCUUAGGCGAAUGUGUUCACAUUCACGGAAAUAUACGCGGUAAUAAAGUUGU